ACGGCCAUACCAUGCUGAAUAUACCGGUUCUCGUUAGAUCACCGAAGUCAAGCAUCAUUGGGCGCGGUCAAGUGACCGCCUGGGAAACCGCGCGCCGUU